rnacentral:rRNA from 1 species
GGGCUCACACAAGCGGUGGAGCAUGUGGUUCAAUUCGAAGCAACGCGCAGAACCUUACCUGGGCUUGACAUGCUUGGAUUAUCCCCAUGAAAGUGGGGUAGGCCCUUCGGGGUACAACAAGUACAGGUGCUGCAUGGCUGUCGUCAGCUCGUGUCGUGAGAUGUCGGGUUAAGUCCCAUAACGAGCGAAACCUUUGCCCUUAGUUACCAGCGGGUUAAGCCGGGGACUCUAAGGGGACUGCCGGUGUCAAACCGGAGGAAGGUGGAGAUGACGUCAAGUCCUCAUGGCCUUUAUGCCCAGGGCCACACACGUGCUACAAUGGCGUGGACAAAGCGAGCCUAAAGCGCAAGCUGGUGGAAAACGCAAAAAUCACGCCCCAGUUCAGAUCGGAGGCUGCAACUCGCCUCCGUGAAGUUGGAAUCGCUAGUAAUCGCGGAUCAGCCACGCCGCGGUGAAUGUGUUCCUGAGCCUU